UAAAUACUCCCUCCGUCCGGAAAUACUUGUCAUCAAAAUGGAUGAAAAUGGAUGUAUCUAAAACUAAAAUACAUCUAGAUACAUCCAUCUCAAUGACAAGUAUUUUCGGACGGAGGGAGUAUAUA
rfam:Triticum urartu cultivar G1812 contig976357, whole genome shotgun sequence.